rnacentral:rRNA from 1 species
AUUGAACGCUGGCGGAAUGCUUUACACAUGCAAGUCGAACGGCAGCACGGGGGCAACCCUGGUGGCGAGUGGCGAACGGGUGAGUAACACAUCGGAACGUGCCCAGUCGUGGGGGAUAACGUAGCGAAAGCUACGCUAAUACCGCAUACGAUCUACGGAUGAAAGCGGGGGACCGCAAGGCCUCGCGCGAUUGGAGCGGCCGAUGGCAGAUUAGGUAGUUGGGGGGGUAAAGGCCUACCAAGCCGACGAUCUGUAGCUGGUCUGAGAGGACGACCAGCCACACUGGGGCUGAGACGCGGCCCAGACUCCUACGGGAGGCAGCAGUGGGGAAUUUUGGACAAUGGGCGCAAGCCUGAUCCAGCCAUUCCGCGUGCAGGAUGAAGGCCUUCGGGUUGUAAACUGCUUUUGUACGGAACGAAACGGCUUGAAUUAAUACUUCGAGCUAAUGACGGUACCGUAAGAAUAAGCACCGGCUAACUACGUGCCAGCAGCCGCCGCCGUAA